GCGCGAAAACUUUACAAUGCUGGCAACAGCGAUAAGGGAACCUCGAGUGCCAGGUUACAAAUCUGGCUGUCGUUGUGUCUAAAAAACACGAUAUAGCAAGGGCCGGGCAAGACCGGUGCCAGCCGCCGCGGUAACACCGGCGGCUCGAGUGGUAACCGUUAUUAUUGGGUCUAAAGGGUCUGUAGCCGGCCGGAUAAGUCUCUUGGGAAAUCCGGCAGCUUAACUGUCGGGCUUUCAGGAGAUACUGUUCGGCUCGAGGCCGGGAGAGGUGAGAGGUACUUCAGGGGUAGGGGUGAAAUCUUGUAAUCCUUGAAGGACCACCAGUGGCGAAGGCGUCUCACCAGAACGGACCUGACGGCAAGGGACGAAAGCUAGGGGCACGAACCG
rnacentral:rRNA from 1 species